ensembl:lincRNA
CCAUUUAGAGACUGGAACGAAUACAUGAAGAUAUGGAAAUCUAGCAGUUGGCUCCACAUAAUGGGACCCUUUCAUGCUUUCUCCAGAGGCUUCUAUUCAUGCAUCAUGAUGCCAAGUUCUGGCAAAUAAGCCAAGUUGGAUUAAGUUACAGCCAAAUUUUACAGCUUGGACAAGUCAAUCGAGGCCCCGAGACCUGCCUGGGAUCACCCAGGAAGACCAUGCUACUCCCUAAAUUAAUCAUGCUGCCGACACUCGGAGGCUCCUGUACCUUAGCCGGCGACUGCAUUCUCCAGCCCUUAUCUCAGCGUCCCCGAGUGGAGACUAUUUGUUUAUUUCUCCAUGGAGAUCUUUAAUUAAGGAAAGCAGAAAGCCCCACAAACACUUCUGUCUGCGUGUCACUGCAGUAAUUGGGCAAAGUAUCUUUUAAAUAUUUUGAUUCUUUAGUGAUGAAGUUAACAAUGCUGGUAGUUAGAGGGAAAAGAAGGCUCGGGAGUGUGUCCCAUUUGGAUGGUGUUAUGAGACACAUCUUUCUGUAGCUUCCAGAGUGGAUGUCAGCUGACACUGGAGGUGGCCUGUGGGGCUGCAGGCAAUGGCAUCAUUAAAGGAAGACAUGACCAUGGCUCCUUCAGCUGCUUCUGGGACACUGAUCUGACCAUCACUGUCAUGUCACUGUCUGCAUGGACCCUGGCUAUAGGACACUGAUUAAACAUUUAGUGGGCACUGCUAACAUUUGGUGAGUGGCACUUCAGUUGUACUCUCUGAGACACUGGUGACAGCGAGGAGGCCCUGUUGGCCUGAGGAAAUGAAAAGGAGGAGGCAAGAUCAGCAGGUUCAGGCUUCCACCUGCUCACAAGAAUUCCCGUCUCUCUUACAGUGAGAAGUGGCCCUUUAUUCUCCUGACUGCCCUGGAGGACCAUGGAAGGCCAUUUACAAGGACUUCUCCUGAUGAUCACAGAGUCAGUGUCAGCUCUAACUGCCCCACAGAGCUUUGGGGGGGGAGCCCAUAAAACAAAAGGCACUUGCCCCUACCACCUGUUUAUUUUAUAGCCCAUAUAUGGUCUGAAAGUCCUCCCAAGACUCUUUGUAGGGGUCAGAGGUUAAGCCUCCCUGCCAUUGCCUGUGGCCCUCCUCUCUCCAUUCCCCAGGGAGCUGAGUGUUAAGCACAGAGGAGUGGGGUCAGCGCUAUGCAGGGCUGAGCAGCACCCCGGUUAUCAACAGACUCUGCAGCUAGACUGCUUUUGACUGUGGGGUCUAUGUGGCUGUGUGGGCGGGGUGAGUCUCUCAACUGUAUGUUUAGUUUCCUCAUCUGUAACAUGGGAUUAAGGCUAGCAGCAGCUGAUUAAUGAAGCAGAGGGACCCAUGUCUACGGAACUCUAAAGACUGGUCUUAGCACAUGAUUCAUGUUUUGUUGGUUUACAGGUUAUUAUUAUUAUCACAAUACCCGAGUCUCCGUUUUUAGAAAUCAGUAGGAAGAUUACCAGUAAGAUACCAGUGUCUGUAGGCAGGCAGAUGUUAAUAGCCCUGAGGACAGAGACAGAGCUCAGGAGGCUGGGACAUU